rnacentral:rRNA from 1 species
AUUGAACGCUGGCGGCAGGCCUAACACAUGCAAGUCGAGCGGAUGAAGACAGCUUGCUCUCUGAUUUAGCGGCGGACGGGUGAGUAAUGCCUAGGAAUCUGCCUGGUAGUGGGGGAUAACGUUCCGAAAGGAACGCUAAUACCGCAUACGUCCUACGGGAGAAAGCAGGGGACCUUCGGGCCUUGCGCUAUCAGAUGAGCCUAGGUCGGAUUAGCUAGUUGGUGAGGUAAUGGCUCACCAAGGCUACGAUCCGUAACUGGUCUGAGAGGAUGAUCAGUAACACUGGAACUGAGACACGGUCCAGACUCCUACGGGAGGCAGCAGUGGGGAAUAUUGGACAAUGGGCGAAAGCCUGAUCCAGCCAUGCCGCGUGUGUGAAGAAGGUCUUCGGAUUGUAAAGCACUUUAAGUUGGGAGGAAGGGCAGUAAGUUAAUACCUUGCUGUUUUGACGUUACCGACAGAAUAAGCACCGGCUAACUUCGUGCCAGCCGCCGCAGUAAGAC